rnacentral:rRNA from 1 species
UACGUAGGGGGCAAGCGUUGUCCGGAUUUAUUGGGCGUAAAGAGCGUGUAGGCGGCCAGGUAGGUCUGCUGUGAAAACUCGAGGCUCAACCUCGAGACGUCGGCGGAAACCAUCUGGCUAGAGUCCGGAAGAGGAGAGUGGAAUUCCUGGUGUAGCGGUGAAAUGCGCAGAUAUCAGGAGGAACACCCAUGGCGAAGGCAGCAAACUGGGCAUCAACUGACGCUGAGGCGCGAAAGCGUGGGUAGCAAACAGG